rnacentral:rRNA from 1 species
UUGGGAAUUUUGCACAAUGGAGGAAACUCUGAUGCAGCAACACUGCGUGAAGGAUGAAGGUUUUCGGAUUGUAAACUUCUUUUAUCUGGGAAUAAUCUUGAAGGUACCAGAUGAAUAAGCACCGGCUAACUACGUGCCAGCAGCCGCGGUAAUACGUAGGGUGCAAACGUUAUCCGGAUUUAUUGGGCGUAAAGAGUUCGUAGGCGGACCGGUAAGUUGGAUAUUAAAGACCCAGGCCCAACCUGGGGAAUGUAUCCAAAACUGCCAGUCUUUGAGGUAUGUAGGGGAGAAUGGAACUUAUGGUGUAGCGGUGGAAUGCGUAGAUAUCAUAAGGAACGCCAAUGGUGAAGACAGUUCUCUGGACAUCACCUGACGCUGAGGAACGAAAGCGUGGGUAGCGAUCGGG